GGUAUAUGUAAAAUCCACCAUUCGGCAAUUAAACACUGCCAGACGACUCUUCCAUGAUCAAGUUGAAGUAGAACUUGACAGGGGAACAAAAGAUAACUGUUCCCGUUGAAUUGCAAAACUACUUUGUGCAAACAAAUUGUAAUUAAGUGCAGUUGGGUACACCUUUCUUUUAGGGUACACCAAUUUCAUGGAUUUGUAAAAACCUGUCAUUAAAUUACUGAAAUCAAUAGUAUUCCCACAAUGAAUGAGAAUUUAAAAAAUAUGAGUGAUCUUCAGCCACCAAAAAGGAAUCCAGCAGCUUGUUCUUCAUUCCCAUCAAAUAAUUUAAGAGCUUGUACCACAGAAUCCCUUCCAAAACCUAGCUCAACAAGCUUUGCAACUUUGGCCUCAAAAUCAGGUCUCAGUGUCACACUGCCUUGUGCAACUCCAGAAGAUUGACCUCCUGGUGCAUUAUUCUUCUUAUCUAUAGCUCCUGAUGUCACUGGAUUUCCUGAGCUGGACACUUCUUUGGCGAGGCUUUCUUCAUCCAGAAAAUGAGUUGGGAUGUCCUUUUCUUGCAAAAAUGGAACAGAAACUUCUCCACCCCCAACUCUCAAAACAUUCUCCUUCAAAUC
rnacentral:misc_RNA from 1 species